rnacentral:rRNA from 1 species
CGCGUAGGCGGCCUGCUAAGUCGGACGUGAAAUCCCUCGGCUCAACCGGGGAACUGCGUCCGAUACUGGCGGGCUUGAAUCCGGGAGAGGGAUGCGGAAUUCCAGGUGUAGCGGUGAAAUGCGUAGAUAUCUGGAGGAACACCGGUGGCGAAGGCGGCAUCCUGGACCGGUAUUGACGCUGAUGCGCGAAAGCCAGGGGAGCAAACG